rnacentral:rRNA from 1 species
AGCCGAAUUAAGGUGAAACCGCGAAAGGCUCAUUAAAUCAGUUAUGGUUCCUUAGAUCGUACCCACAUUUACUUGGAUAACUGUGGUAAUUCUAGAGCUAAUACAUGCAAACAGAGCUCCGACCGGACACGGAAGGAGCGCUUUUAUUAGAUCAAAACCAAUCGGCGGCGGGUUCCGCUCGUCGUCGUACCCACUGGUGAAUCUGAAUAACUUUCUGCUGAUCGCACGGUCUCGCACCGGCGACGCAUCUUUCAAAUGUCUGCCUUAUCAACUGUCGAUGGUAGGUUCUGCGCCUACCAUGGUUGUAACGGGUAACGGGGAAUCAGGGUUCGAUUCCGGAGAGGGAGCCUGAGAAACGGCUACCACAUCCAAGGAAGGCAGCAGGCGCGCAAAUUACCCACUCCCGGCACGGGGAGGUAGUGACGAAAAAUAACGAUACGGGACUCAUCCGAGGCCCCGUAAUCGGAAUGAGUACAAUCUAAACCCUUUAACGAGGAUCAAUUGGAGGGUAAGUCUGGUGCCAGCAGCCGCGGUAAUUCCAGCUCCAAUAGCGUAUAUUAAAGUUGUUGCGGUUAAAAAGCUCGUAGUCGAAUCUGUGUCCCGCGCCGCCGGUUCACCGCCACGCGGUGUUUAACUGGCGUGUCCGCGGGACGUCCUGCCGGUGGGCUUCACCGACGCCCCGCGAGGGCGCCCGGCAGCCCAACUCAAUCCCACCGCGGUGCUCUUCACUGAGUGUCGAGGUGGGCCGGCACGUUUACUUUGAACAAAUUAGAGUGCUUAAAGCAGGCUAAAACUUCGCCUGAAUACCGUGUGCAUGGAAUAAUGGAAUAGGACCUCGGUUCUAUUUUGUUGGUUUUCGGAACCCCGAGGUAAUGAUUAAUAGGAACGGAUGGGGGCAUUCGUAUUGCGACGUUAGAGGUGAAAUUCUUGGAUCGUCGCAAGACGAACAGAAGCGAAAGCAUUUGCCAAAAACGUUUUCAUUGAUCAAGAACGAAAGUUAGAGGUUCGAAGGCGAUCAGAUACCGCCCUAGUUCUAACCAUAAACGAUGCCAGCUAGCGAUCCGCCGGCGUUCCUUCGAUGACCCGGCGGGCAGCUUCCGGGAAACCAAAGCUUUUGGGUUCCGGGGGAAGUAUGGUUGCAAAGCUGAAACUUAAAGGAAUUGACGGAAGGGCACCACCAGGAGUGGAGCCUGCGGCUUAAUUUGACUCAACACGGGAAACCUCACCAGGCCCGGACACCGGAAGGAUUGACAGAUUGAGAGCUCUUUCUUGAUUCGGUGGGUGGUGGUGCAUGGCCGUUCUUCGUUGGUGGAGCGAUUUGUCUGGUUAAUUCCGAUAACGAACGAGACUCUAGCCUGCUAAAUAGGCGUAUUUCCGGCAUCUCAAAGGCCCGCCGGUCCGGCGUUCGCGUCGCGGCCGCGCGCGGUUUUUACUGCCGGCGUACACACAAUUCUUCUUAGAGGGACAGGCGGCUUCUAGCCGCACGAGAUUGAGCAAUAACAGGUCUGUGAUGCCCUUAGAUGUUCUGGGCCGCACGCGCGCUACACUGAAGGAAUCAGCGUGUCCUCCCUGGCCGAGAGGCCCGGGUAACCCGCUGAACCUCCUUCGUGCUAGGGAUUGGGGCUUGCAAUUGUUCCCCAUGAACGAGGAAUUCCCAGUAAGCGCGUGUCAUAAGCUCGCGUUGAUUACGUCCCUGCCCUUUG